UCCUCCGGGACGCAGCCGUCGGGAAUAUUGCGCAAUGGAAGAAACUCUGCCGCCGUGCCUCCUCUUCUCUUCAGAAGGUUUUCGGAUUGUAAACUAUUGUCGUGAGGGAAGAAGAUGACAGUACCUCAGGAGGAAGCUCCGGCUAACUAUGUGCCAGCAGCCGCGGUAAUACAUAGGGAGCAAGCGUUAUCCGGAAUUAUUGGGUGUAAAGGGUGCGUAGACGGGAAAUUAAGUUAGUUGUGAAAUCCCUUGGCUUAACUGAGGAACUGCAACUAAAACUGAUUUUCUUGAGUACUGGAGAGGAA
rnacentral:rRNA from 1 species